rnacentral:rRNA from 1 species
GACGAACGCUGGCGGCGUGCCUAAUACAUGCAAGUCGAGCGGAUGAAAGAGGAGCUUGCUCCUCUAGAUUCAGCGGCGGACGGGUGAGUAACACGUGGGCAACCUGCCCUGUAGAUUGGGAUAACUCCGGGAAACCGGGGCUAAUACCGAAUAAUCCUUCGGACCUCAUGGUCCGAUGUUGAAAGACGGUUUCGGCUGUCACUACAGGAUGGGCACGCGGCGCAUUAGCUAGUUGGUGAGGUAACGGCUCACCAAGGCCACGAUGCGUAGCCGACCUGAGAGGGUGAUCGGCCACACUGGGACUGAGACACGGCCCAGACUCCUACGGGAGGCAGCAGUAGGGAAUCUUCCACAAUGGACGAAAGUCUGAUGGAGCAACGCCGCGUGAGUGAAGAAGGUUCUCGGAUCGUAAAACUCUGUUGUGAGGGAAGAACAAGUACCGGAGUAACUGCCGGUGCCUUGACGGUACCUCAUUAGAAAGCCACGGCUAACUACGUGCCAGCCGCCGCAGUAAAAC